GCCCCCAUCGUCUAGUGGCCUAGGACGCCGCGUUCUCAGCGCGGAAACCGGGGUUCGAUUCCCCGUGGGGGUACUA
rnacentral:tRNA from 1 species